rnacentral:rRNA from 1 species
GACGAACGCUGGCGGCGUGCUUAACACAUGCAAGUCGAACGGAAAGGCCCUGCUUUUGUUGGGUGCUCGAUUGGCGAACGGGUGAGUAACACGUGAGUAACCUCCCCUUGACUUUGUGAUAACUUCAGGAAACUGGGGCUCAUACCGCAUAGGAUCUCCUGCUGCAUGUUGUUGGUUGGAAAGUUUCGGCGGUUCGGGCUGGACUCGCAGCUUAUCAGCUUGUUGGUGUGGUAGGUGCUUACCAAGGGUGUGACGGAUAGCCUGCCUGAGAGGGGUACCGGGGACCUGGGGACUGAGAUACGCAGCAGAAGGCAACGGGAGGCAGUAGUGGGGAAUAUGGCGCAAUGGGCGGACGCCUGAUGUAGCGACGCCGCGUGCGGGAUGCCGGGUUACGGGUGAUAAACAGCUUUCGCCUGUGCCGAAGAGUGAGUGACGGUAAUGGGUAAAGAAGCAACGGCUAACUACGUG